rnacentral:rRNA from 1 species
AGGGCAUACGGUGGAUGCCUUGGAGCUAAUGGCCGACGAAGGACGUGGUAAGCUGCGAAAAGCUGCGGUGAGGAGCAAACAUCCCUUGACCCGCAGAUAUCCGAAUGGGGCAACCCUCCUGCUAGAAGAGCAGGAAUCCUCUUUUGAAGGGGAAGGAACCCGGUGAAGUGAAACAUCUCAGUAACCGGAGGAGAAGAAAUCGAAGAGAUGCCCUGAGUAGUGGUGAGCGAAAGGGGCUUAGCCUAAACCGGGAUCAUGCCAAGCUUGCAGGCGUUGUGUUUUCGGUGUAGUGGGACCCUUGUGGAGCUGCUGCAACAGCUUCUUGGAGUUACAAAACUGACUUAUAGUCGAAAGGUGUUGGGAAAGCCUACCGUAGAAGGUGAAAGUCCUGUAGGCGAAAUGAGUCAGUCUCUGAAAGAGGUGUUCCCAAGUAGGGCGGAGCACGUGGAAUUCCGUCUGAAUCUGGGUGGACCAUCAUCCAAGGCUAAAUACCAUUAGCUACCGAUAGCGAAACAGUACCGAGAGGGAAAGGUGAAAAGCACCCCUGGCGGGGAGUGAAAAGACCUGAAACCGUAUGCUUACAAGCAGUCGGAGGGGAAAUUGGAGCUUGCUCUAGUUGACCUGACGGCGUGCCUCUUGGAAAAUGAGCCAGCGAGUUACCUUACGUGGCGAGGUUAAGGGCUUGAAGGUCUGAAGCCGUAGGGAAACCGAGUCCGAACAGGGCGACAAGUCUCGUGUGGUAGACCCGAAGCCGGACGAUCUAUCCAUGGCCAGGUUGAAGGUCAGGUAAAACUGACUGGAGGACCGAACCAGGGUCUGUUGAAAAAGGCUUGGAUGAGCUGUGGAUAGGAGUGAAAAGCUAAUCGAGUUCGGUGAUAGCUGGUUCUCCCCGAAAUGCAUUGAGGUGCAGCCUCGUGUUAGAAAGUUGUGGGGGUAGAGCACUGGAUGGGUGCGGGGGACUGGGGUCCUACCAAUCUCAACCAAACUCCGAAUACCAUAACUGGAUUCACGGGAGUGAGACUGCGAGCGAGAAGGUCCGUAGUCGAAAGGGAAACAGCCCAGACCGACAGCUAAGGUCCCAAAGCGAGUGCUAAGUGUGACAAGGAUGUGGGGGUACCCAGACAGCCAGGAGGUUGGCUUAGAAGCAGCCAUCCUUGAAAGAGUGCGUAACAGCUCACUGGUCGAGUGCCCCUGCGCCGAAAAUGUGGGGGGCUAAGCACACCGCCGAAGCUUCGGAUAUGCAUAUUAUAUAUGUAUGUGGUAGGGGAGCGUUCUGUACGGGGCGAAGUAUGACCGAAAGGGAAUGUGGACUGUACAGAAGUGAGAAUGCUGGCAUGAGUAACGUAAAACAUGUGAGAACCAUGUUCGUCGAAAGCCCAAGGAUUCCUGGGGAAGGUUAGUCCGCCCAGGGUUAGGCGGGACCUAAGGCAAGGCUGAAGAGCGUAGCCGAUGGACAGCAGGUAGACAUUCCUGCCCCGCCCCGAGGACGUUAUUACUGAAGUGGUGACGCAGAAAGCUAGGUACGCUGGGUGAUGGAAUACCCAGUACAAAGGUGUAGGGGGAUUGAGCAGGCAAAUCCGCUCGGUCAUAACUCUGAGGCCUGAUGUGGAAGCUCUACGGAGUUGAAGGUAUUGAGGCUCUGCUGCCGAGAAAAGCCACUAGGGAGGAAUUGGGGCGCCCGUACUGUAAACCGACACAGGUGGGCAAGCUGAGCAGGCUAAGACGGACGGGGAAACCCUCUUUAAGGAACUCUGCAAUUUGACUCCGUAACUUCGGGAGAAGGAGUGCCACUUAGGUGAAGCGUAUAAUCAUGUGGAGCUAUAAGUGGUCGCAGAACCCAGGCCCAGGCAACUGUUUACUAAAAACACAGGUCUCUGCUGAAGCCGUAAGGCGACGUAUAGGGACUGACGCCUGCCCGGUGCUGGAAGGUUAAGGGGAAGUGUUAGGAUUCGUCCGAAGCGCGGAACUGAAGCCCCAGUAAACGGCGGCCGUAACUAUAACGGUCCUAAGGUAGCGAAAUUCCUUGUCGGGUAAGUUCCGACCUGCACGAAAGGCGUAAUGAUCUGGGCGCUGUCUCGAAGGGGGACCCGGUGAAAUUGUGGUACCGGUAAAGACGCCGGUUACCUGUGGUGGGACGGAAAGACCCCGUGGAGCUUUACUGUAGCUUGAUAUUGGACUUCGGUAUAGUAUGUACAGGAUAGGUGGGAGACGAAGAAGUUAUGCCGUCAGGUGUAUCUGAGUCGUCCUUGGGAUACCACCCUUAUUGUACUGGGGUUCUAACCUCGACUUCUGAAUCGGAGCGAGGGACAGUUUCAGGUAGGCAGUUUGACUGGGGCGGUCGCCUCCUAAAGAGUAACGGAGGCGCGCGAAGGUUGUCUCAGGGCGAAUGGAAAUCGCCUAAAGAGCGCAAGGGUAUAAGACAGCCUGACUGUGAGAUAGACAUAUCGAGCAGGUGCGAAAGCAGGUCCUAGUGAUCCGGCGGUACUGAGUGGAAAGGCCGUCGCUCAUCGGAUAAAAGCUACCCCGGGGAUAACAGGCUUAUCUCCCCCGAGAGUUCCCAUCGACGGGGAGGUUUGGCACCUCGAUGUCGGCUCGUCGCAUCCUGGGGCUGUAGCAGGUCCCAAGGGUUGGUCUGUUCGCCCAUUAAAGCGGUACGUGAGCUGGGUUUAGAACGUCGUGAGACAGUUCGGUCCCUAUCCACCAUAGGCGAAGGGUAUUUGAGGAGAGCUGCUCCUAGUACGAGAGGACCGGAGUGGACGCACCACUAGUGUACCAGUUGUCGCGCCCGCGGCAUAAGCUGGGUAGCCAUGUGCGGCAUGGAUAACCGCUGAAGGCAUCUAAGCGGGAAGCCACCUUCAAGAUGAGAUACCCUAUCUGUAAGAAGAAUAAGGUGUCCGGAAGACGACCGGUUAGAUAGGUCGGAGGUGUAAGCCCUGUGAGGGGUUGAGCUGACCGAUACUAAUACACCGAAGCCUUAACC